UGUUUUUUUUUCCAACUAGCCUGUUCCCAGGUAAUUUUUUGGGCGGGGGGAUUUUAAAGAGUGGAGCUCCUCAUAACUUUAAUUAUUAAAAAUAAUAACUUAGUACUGGUAUUGCAUAUUCUUCCUUUAAGGGCUCAUGACACUGCUGGAAUCUCCACUUAUUUUUAAGUCUGUGAAAACUUUUUGUUUUUGCCUCGAACGAAUUGUAAUGCUGCGGAUUGCAAUUUUGUAAUCCUGAUCUCUUACAAUUUUUACAAUUUUUUAUUGUCUCUUUGUACUGUAUGAUUGUAUUGAAUACUUUGUUUUAUACAUGCAGAUUUUAUAUUAUGCAUUAUUGCACUGUUAAUAGUUCAUUAUAUGCCCAGUUGGAAUAAAACCCGUUUAAAAUAGAUCGGAAAAAAAACUACAGCACCCAGAAUUCAAAGGGCCGGCAUCGGACUUCCGCGCUGACAUCACCUAACCAGGGCACCUUUCAAGAUGGCGGCGGCAGCAGAGGCGCAGGAUAAUGAACUGGACGAGUUGUUAGACAGUGCCCUGGACGACUUUGAGAAGACCAAGCCCUGCGCCGCGGCCCCCAGCUCUGAGGGAGAGCCGACUGCAGCGCCCCCUGCUGCUGCCAGUGACAAGGAGACAGUGAGUCGGUCUUCACUGGCUUUGCUUAAGUGACCUUGAUCUAGUCCUGUAAAAGUUACUCCUGUGCCCCCGUUUUGUUUUGCGUCAAGCGGCAACCAUUUUUCCAGUGGAUGAGAGGAUCCCAAAUUAAACUGAUAGACUAACUAGUAUAUAAAUUUGCCGUGAUCCAUGUUGAGAUUUGAAGUGACGCACUCCUGCUCAUGCAGUCCGUCUCAGGCCUACAUUUCCGUGAUGCCGAGAUGCAAGAAGUCGGAUCGCAGCUCAGUGAGGCCAGGUUAGCUCAGGCCACUUCCAGAGAAUAUCAAAGACGACGCACAUAAGGUGUCUCGCCCGUGGUGCUCUGAAUCCAAGCAGUUUUGCAGGAAUUUUCUGUCACCUCCCUAAUUAUGAAUGGGUGUUUAGUGACCAAGGCAGACGGAUUAGAACUAGACAAAAUACUUCCACACUUGGCACAGUGGCUAUUUGUGAUAAGGUGAUCACCGCCUAUGGGUUAUUUCUGAGUCCAGUAUUUUUCAGACCAUUGGCAGGAGUGAACCCAGGUCAGGUCCGAUUCUAUUGUACGAUCCUUCAAGCACAGAUAGUGCUGAUCUUACACUGUAGAGCCCUCUUACUUAUAGAUAGAUAAGAUAGAUACAUAAGACUUUAUUGAUCCCGAAGGGACAUUGAUGUGUUACAGCAGCCCAGCCCAAGACAAGCACAGUCAUAGUCAUAGAUCAUAGUCACUGUAAAAACAAUAAAAUAUGUGCAAAAUGUGCAUAGGUAUAUAUAGAUUGAGUGUCCAAAAAAGUACAAUGGAGCAACAUGCUGUCCAUAGAGGAGCAAAUGAA
rnacentral:lncRNA from 1 species